rnacentral:rRNA from 1 species
UUCCUACGGGAGGCAGCAGUGGGGAAUAUUGCACAAUGGGGGAAACCCUGAUGCAGCGACGCCGCGUGAGUGAAGAAGUAUUUCGGUAUGUAAAGCUCUAUCAGCAGGGAAGAAAAUGACGGUACCUGACUAAGAAGCCCCGGCUAACUACGUGCCAGCAGCCGCGGUAAUACGUAGGGGGCAAGCGUUAUCCGGAUUUACUGGGUGUAAAGGGAGCGUAGACGGCCAGACAAGUCAGAUGUGAAAGCCCGGGGCUCAACCCCGGUACUGCAUUUGAAACUGUCCAGCUGGAGUGCAGGAGAGGU